GACAAGGACAUGAGACAGUGGUGAUGGC
rnacentral:piRNA from 1 species